UGAUCCUGGCUCAGAACGAACGCUGGCGGCGUGCUUAACACAUGCAAGUCGAACGAGAAAUUACCUUCGGGUAAUGGACAGUGGCAGACGGGUGAGUAACGCGUGGCAACCUACCUUUCAGUAAGGGACAACAGUUGGAAACGACUGCUAAUACCUUAUACGUCCUCCGGGAGAAAGAUUUAUCGCUGAUAGAUGGGGCCGCGUUAGAUUAGCUAGUUGGUGAGGUAAUGGCUCACCAAGGCGACGAUCUAUAGCGGGUCUGAGAGGAUGAUCCGCCACACUGGGACUGAGACACGGCCCAGACUCCUACGGGAGGCAGCAGUGGGGAAUAUUGGACAAUGGGCGCAAGCCUGAUCCAGCAACGCCGCGUGAAUGAUGAAGGCCUUAGGGUUGUAAAAUUCUUUCGCUAGGGAAGAUAAUGACUGUACCUAGUAAAGAAGCCCCGGCUAACUCCGUGCCAGCAGCCGCGGUAAUACGGAGGGGGCUAGCGUUGUUCGGAAUUACUGGGCGUAAAGCGUGCGUAGGCGGAUUAAUAAGUUAGAUGUGAAAUCCCAGGGCUCAACCCUGGAACUGCAUUUAAAACUGUUAGUCUUGAGUUCUGGAGAGGUAAGUGGAAUUCCUAGUGUAGAGGUGAAAUUCGUAGAUAUUAGGAGGAACACCAGAGGCGAAGGCGGCUUACUGGACAGAUACUGACGCUGAGGCACGAAAGUGUGGGGAGCAAACAGGAUUAGAUACCCUGGUAGU
rnacentral:rRNA from 1 species